CCUGGCCCUCUUUGAGUCUCCUCAGGGGAUCCUCUUUGUGGGAUUUGGGGCUCAGGAAACCAGAGAAAACAUUGAUUUUCUGGCUACUGCUAUUGCGGAACCAAGGCAGAACACUGCCAGACGGACAAACCGCAGAACCGGUCCAAACCAGAAAGGUCCAAGAUGGCUAGGGUGCUGUGCACUGGAGGAAACUUGCGCAAAGACGCCGUGUGCAAGAAGGGAAGAUCUGCGUAUGCCCCAACUGCCCCGCCCCAAACGGUGAGAAAUUUAUUUCAUGGGAGACCAACUCAGAGCAGUCCUGUACCAAAUCACAUGGCUCACUCCAUCCUCACAGUCCCAUCAGGAAGGCAGGAAAUCAGGCCAGAAGGAAG
rnacentral:lncRNA from 1 species